rnacentral:misc_RNA from 1 species
UCUCCGUAGGUGACCCUGCGGCGGGAUAAUUACCGAGUGAGGGCUCACGCCCGACCUCCAACCCUGUGUGAACACAUCUUGUUGCUUCGGGGGCGACCCUGCCGACGACUUCGUCGCCGGGCGCCCCCGGAGGUCUUCCAAACACUGCAUCUUUGCGUCGGAGUUUAAGUAAAUUAAACAAAACUUUCAACAACGGAUCUCUUGGUUCUGGCAUCGAUGAAGAACGCAGC